UUACGGCCACAUCACGAUAAAACACCGGUUCCCAGACAAUCACCGAAGUUAAGCAACGUCGAGCUCAGUCAGUACCUAGAUGGGUGACGGCUUGGGAUGAGCGGGUGGUGUAA